rnacentral:rRNA from 1 species
AGAGUUUGAUCCUGGCUCAGGAUGAACGCUAGCGGCAGGCCUAAUACAUGCAAGUCGAACGGGUCGCAAGACUAGUGGCGCACGGGUGCGUAACACGUAGGUAACCUACCUGAUACUGGGGCAUAACGAUGGGAAACCAUCGCUAAUUCCGCAUAAGAUAGUAGAGGAGCAUUCUUCAGCUAUUAAAGAUUUAUUGGUAUCAGAUGGGCCUGCGGCUGAUUAGCUAGUUGGUAGUGUAACGGACUACCAAGGCAAUGAUCAGUAGGGGUUCUGAGAGGAAGAUCCCCCACACUGGCACUGAGAUACGGGCCAGACUCCUACGGGAGGCAGCAGUAGGGAAUAUUGGGCAAUGGCGGAAACGCUGACCCAGCCAUGCCGCGUGCAGGAAGAAGGCGCUCAGCGUUGUAAACUGCUUUUGCCGGGGAAGAAUGGGGGUUACGCGUAACCCACUCGACGGUACCUGGUGAAUAAGCACCGGCUAACUCCGUGCCAGCAGCCGCGGUAAUACGGAGGGUGCAAGCGUUGUCCGGAUUUAUUGGGUUUAAAGGGUGCGUAGGUGGCUUGUUAAGUCUGGGGUGAAAGGCAGUGGCUCAACCACAUGCAGGGCCCUGGAUACUGGCAGGCUGGAGUGUAGGUGAGGCCGGUGGAACGGGUGGUGUAGCGGUGAAAUGCAUAGAUACCAUCCAGAACACCGAUUGCGGAGGCAGCCGGCUAACGCGCAACUGACACUGAGGCACGAAAGCGUGGGGAGCAAACAGGAUUAGAUACCCCCGUAGUCC